rnacentral:rRNA from 1 species
AGUGAACGCUGGCGGUAGGCCUAACACGUGCAAGUCGAACGGCAGCACAGUAAGAGCUUGCUCUUACGGGUGGCGAGUGGCGGACGGGUGAGGAAUACAUCGGAAUCUACUUUUUCGUGGGGGAUAACGUAGGGAAACUUACGCUAAUACCGCAUACGACCUACGGGUGAAAGCAGGGGAUCUUCGGACCUUGCGCGAUUGAAUGAGCCGAUGUCGGAUUAGCUAGUUGGCGGGGUAAAGGCCCACCAAGGCGUCGAUCCGUAGCUGGUCUGAGAGGAUGAUCAGCCACACUGGAACUGAGACACGGUCCAGACUCCUACGGGAGGCAGCAGUGGGGAAUAUUGGACAAUGGGCGCAAGCCUGAUCCAGCCAUACCGCGUGGGUGAAGAAGGCCUUCGGGUUGUAAAGCCCUUUUGUUGGGAAAGAAAAGCAGCAGGUUAAUACCCCGCUGUUCUGACGGUACCCAAAGAAUAAGCACCGGCUAACUUCGUG